CAUAACCGCAUCAGGUCUCCAAG
rnacentral:siRNA from 1 species